rnacentral:rRNA from 1 species
GACGAACGCUGGCGGCGUGCCUAAUACAUGCAAGUCGAACGCAGGGGGGACGGGUGAGUAACACGUGGGUAACCUCCCAUCAGAGGGGAUAACAGUUGGAAACAGGUGCUAAACCGAUACGGAAGGCGGGACCCGGGGGGCAUGGGCUAGUUGUGGGGGUAACGGCUCACCAAGGCCACGAUGCAUAGCCGGCCUGAGAGGGUGAUCGGCCACACUGGAACUGAGACACGGCCCAGACUCCUACGGGAGGCAGCAGUAGGGAAUCUUCUGCAAUGGACGAAAGUCUGACCGAGCAACGCCGCGUGAGUGAAGAAGGUUUUCGGAUCGUAAAGCUCUGUUAUUGGGGAAGCGGUAUCUGAAGAGGAAGCCACGGCUAACUACGUGCCAGCAGCCGCGGUAAUUC